CAACCCUCGAACCCCUCCGGGGGUCCGGCGUUGGGGAUCGGGAACCCCUAAGACGGGAUCCCGGCCCCGAAAUACAGUGGCGGUCUCGCCGCAGCCUCUCAUGCGCAGUAGUUUGCACAACUCGCACCGGGAGCGCGGCGCGUCCACGUCCGUAAAACACCCAACUUCUGAA
rnacentral:misc_RNA from 1 species